GAUGAAGAACGUAGCGAAAUGCGAUAAGUAAUGUGAAUUGCAGAAUUCAGUGAAUCAUCGAAUCUUUGAACGCACAUUGCGCCCGCCAAUAUUCUGGCGGGCAUGCCUGUUCGAGCGUCAUUUCAACCAUCAAGCCCCCGGCUUGUGUUGGGGACCUGCGGCUGCCGCAGGCCCUGAAAAGCAGUGGCGGGCUCGCUGUCACACCGAGCGUAGUAGCAUACAUCUCGCUCUGGGCGUGCUGCGGGUUCCGGCCGUUAAACCACCUUCAUAACCCAAGGUUGACCUCGGAUCAGGUAGGAAGACCCGCUGAACUUAAGCAUAUCAAUAAGCGGAGGA
rnacentral:misc_RNA from 1 species